UUGGCGGACGGGUGAGUAACGCGUGGAUAACCUGCCGUAUACAGGGGGAUAACACUUAGAAAUAGGUGCUAAUACCGCAUAAGCGCACGGUUCCGCAUGGAACAGUGUGAAAAACUCCGGUGGUAUACGAUGGAUCCGCGUCUGAUUGGCCAGUUGGCGGGGUAACGGCCCACCAAAGCGACGAUCAGUAGCCGGCCUGAGAGGGUGAACGGCCACAUUGGGACUGAGACACGGCCCAAACUCCUACGGAAGGCAGCAG
rnacentral:rRNA from 1 species